CCUACGGGUGGCAGCAGUGAGGAAUAUUGGUCAAUGGGCGCAAGCCUGAACCAGCCAAGUAGCGUGAGGGAUGACUGCCCUACGGGUUGUAAACCUCUUUUAUGCGGGGAUAAAGGUGUCCACGUGUGGCUUUUUGCAGGUACCGCAUGAAUAAGGACAGGCUAAAUCCGUGCCAGCAGCCGCGGUAAUACGGAGGGUCCGGGCGUUAUCCGGAUUUAAUGGGUUUAAAGGGAGCGUAGAUGGGUUGUUAAGUCAGUUGUGAAAGUUUGCGGCUCAACCGUAAAAUUGCAAUUGAUACUGGCAGUCUUGAGUACAGGAGAGGUAGGCGGAAUUCGUGGUGUAGCGGUGAAAUGCUUAGAUAUCACGAAGAACCCCGAUUGCGAAGGCAGCUUACUAAACUGUGACUGACAUUGAUGCUCGAAAGUGUGGGGAUCAAACAGGAUUAGAUACCCUAGUAGUC
rnacentral:rRNA from 1 species